CUGGUACGAAAAAAAUGGGUCAAACACGACACGACUCACUUAACACGAAUUUGACACGUUUUUUUAUAUUUUAAAAAAUAUAUUUAAAAUAAUUAAACAAAUAUAUACUAUUUAAUACUAAUAGUAUUAUAAUAUUUAAUAUUACAAAUGGUAUCUCACACACGUUUCAGUUUUAGAAUAAGAGAAAAUGAUUGUAUUUGGGCUUUAGAUUAAUCAUAUAAGGCCCUUUUGUUGAUUUAUACAGCCCAAGUAAAAUAUUAACCCUAAGUAUAUAUAUAAUAAUGUUGUCUCUUCUCUUCCAAACCCUAGCAACCACAAACUAAACAAUACUAGUUCUUCCUCUCUCAAGUCUCAAUUAGUCUCCCAAAUCUGACUUCUUCUUGGGCUAAAUCGACAGAUUUAUAUACUGAAUCUUGCUAUUCGACUACUCAUUCUCACUUUCAGGAUGAAGACUAAAGAAGAUGAAGGUCUCAUUGAGAUUAAAGAUAAAGAAGAUAUAGAACUUGCAAAAGCUGCUAUUGAUGCCACUAUGAAAGAGAAGAAGAAGGCAUUGAAGUCCAAAGUUUGGAACUUUUUUGAGAGGCUUCCUGAGGGUCCUGAUAAAAAAGAAGUUUAAAUUUUUGCUCUAUGCCACCUCCACACACUUGUAUCGCAUUGUCUAAGAAAUUUCUUUCCUUAUUGAGUGAAUGGGGAAUUGAGGGGAAAUUUUUUUUUCAGUUACUUUAGACAAUUCAUCUUCAAAUGAUGUCUCUGUUGAUGCAUUACAAACUUAGAUGAAUUUGAAAUGUUUACUUCCAUGUAAUGGUGACUUUUUUCAUUUGAGGUGUUGUGCUCACAUACUUAAUCUAGUAGUGCAAGAUGGAUUAAAGGAUAUUGAUGUAUCAAUAGAAAAGAUUCGUGAUAGUGUUAAGUAUGUUAAGGGAUCACAACUAAGGAAGCAAAAGUUUUUGGAAUGUGUUAAGCUUGUAUUUACGGGUGGUGUUUGCAAAAGGGGAUUGUGUCAAGAUGUUGUUACUAGGUGGAACUUUACCUACCUUAUGUUGGAUAGUUCUUUAGUUUAUCGUCGUGCCUUUCAACAUUUAGCUUUGAGUGAUUCAAACUAUAAACAUUUUCCAUCUAAGGAUGAAUGGGAAAGAGUUGAGAAAGUUUGGAAGUUUUUGAAAGUUUUUUAUGAUGCAACUCUUGUUAUUUUUGGCUCGAAGUAUCCAAUAGCCAAUUUGUACUUUACAAACAUAAUUAAUUGCUACAUAACUUUAAAAAAGACUUUGGAAGGUGAAGAUGACUAUCUAAGGCGUAUGGCAAGUAAAAUAUGGGUUAAGUUUCAAAAGUAUUGGUCAGAUUUUAGUCCCAUUUUGACUAUAGCAGCUAUCUUAGAUCCUCGAUACAAGUUGGAAGUUGUAGAAUUUCGCUCUAUCGAGGCAUAUGGGGAAGAUUCUAAGGAAUUUAAAGCUUUAUAUGAAAAAUUAUUGUCUCUUUAUGAUGAUUACAAGGGUAAGAUUGACCCAAACCCUUCAAUGGCUGCCAAGAACAAGAUGAAUGAAAUAAAGAAAAGAGAGACAUAUGCUAGGAGAUUGACAAUAAAUUUUUUCAGGUCUAAUAAAUUGUUUGUAUUUUUAUUUGUGUGUAUUAUUUUAUAUUUACUGCUAUUUUAUUAUUUUUUAUAUAUAUAACUUGUAUAUUUAUUUUAUUCUAUAGGAGUUUGAUAGUCUUCCAAAUGGAAAUCGUUCAAAUUUUGUCCAAAAGACACAGGUGCAACUUUAUUUAGAAGAUGAAAGAAUUGAUAGGAAUGAGGAGCUUGAUAUCUUGAGCUAUUGGAAAACACAUCAAUAUCGUUCUUCAGAACUUGCAGCGAUGGCUCGUGAUAUUUUGAGCAUUCCUAUCUCGACAAUGGCCUCAGAAUCUGCAUUCAGUAUUGGUGGAAGAGUGCUUGACCAGUUUCGAAGUACACUUAAACCUGAUACAGUUCAAGCCCUUUUGUGUAUAAGAGAUUGGUUGUUUGGAGAUGAAAGUAAUUUAAUUUUAUAUUUCUAACUAUAAUGUUAAAUAUUUUAAUGAUAAUGAUAUUUUCUAUAUUUUUAUGUUGUAGAUGGGGAGAAGGAAAUUGCACAAUAUUUGAAAGAUGUGAUUCAAAAUGUUGUGGAACUUAGAUUGAUAACAAUUUAGAGUAUAUUUAGCUGAUGUUUUCACCAAGGCCCUAGAAUCAAGUCUCUUUGACUCCCUCAGAAAAUCUUUGGGAGUUUGCAUUGUCUAAUCUCUCUUAUUUUUCUGUUUGUACAAUAUUGUUAAGUUAUUCUUUACUUACAUCUAAUCGUCUUUCAUUCUAAUUUGACAAGUCAUGUUUAUGCUUUUGGAUUAUAAUUAGUUAGGAUCUCAUUCUUAUCAUACUUUUUGCGGUUGAGUAAAAAGUUUCAUGUUACUUCUUAUAUGUGUCUGGGAUUACAUAAUGUUCUUAUACAGAUUUGAGCGUAUUUUGUUUCAGUUCUUGUUAGGCCCCUUGCUGGAAUAGAGCUACCCAUACUAAGGUGUGAAAGCCAUCUUUUGAGUAAGCUGGAACAUUGUAAUUAGCAACUAUGAUGAGGAUGCACUACCAUAGAAAAGGGCUACCUUCAGUAUGGUGUGAUAGCAUCCAGUUGUGGGAUCAAAUUGAAAAACGUGAAAAUAAAAAAUCUUGCCAAGGACAAUGAUCCUAUUUUCACUGCACACACUUAUGUCUGACAAGUGUGUACAAGUUUGUAAGUCUUCUCUACUAAAAUAAAUUAAAAUCAUAGUUCAAAUUUUUUAGUAACAUGCAUAUCUUUUUCCUCAACAUCUACUAAGUAUGGCUUGUUCUUGAGAUACUAAUUAGUUAUUAUCUUUUGUAAGCAUAACAUGUAUAUUUGUCAUUUGUGAUGAAUUUUGAUUAAAUUGCUUGCUUUAGAAUACCUUAUAUCUAUUGUACAUAUUUAAUUUUAUUUUGUAUUAUUUUUUUGGUUUUUCAAAAAAUAAAUAAGAGAGGGAGGCGUUGGUGACUUGAAUCAUGGGCUAAGAAAAUUUUGUGCUUUGUUUGGAAAGUUUCAACAUUUAUUCAAAAUUGGUUUCUUUUGAUUUGUUUCCUUUAAUAGUUUGAUAUCAUAUCAAUUGUAUUUCGUCUUUAAUCUUGAAGAAUUUUCUUAGAUUGGCUAUUUUUGGAAAAUAUCUUUGUAAUUUUUGUUUCCUUUUAUGUUUUGUUAAAAAAUAAUUUUGAAAAAGUGUGGGCGGUUUCCUUUUUGUGUUCGUGGGCUGGUGGUUACUCAAAAUUUUGAAAUUGGUUUCCUUUUUGCUCAACUCUCCCAUGUUUAUUUAAACCGAUUUCUAUGUGUUAUUUUUCUCACCACCCACCCGAUUCCUAUUUCCUUGUAUUCUUUCUCUUUGUUUUUCAUUCCUCUUUCAGAAAUCCAUGGCUAAGACUAAGAACCUAGGGCAUCCAAGGACAAUGGUGGAAUCCGAACAAGCCCCCUCGAAUGCUCCUCCUGCUGCUCCAAUCUUGCUGCCUGCUGCUGCAACUACUUCGAACCCAGGAGAUUCAUCGCUUCCUCAGCAUGAAUCUCAGCCCGUGAAGCCCAAGCCAAAAAGAAUUCCUAAACAAGUGGUUCGAAAAUCUGUGCGACCCUACGAAUGUUGGACUUCAUCGUCUUCAUCUUCGAAGAAAUCUCCUCCACCUACUAUUGUAUCGCCUCCUGCUGCAACAGGGAAGGGAGUUGCUGCAUCAACUCCUACAGGUCCUUCCACUCACACUCGUGCCCAACAAGCAUCUAUCGAGAAGGAACUUCGCACAAAACGAAGCCAUGACAAACCAGCUGCUCCAGCCAAGAAGCUUAAGAUGAAUCCCCCUUUGGUUUCUUUGAGUUUUGAAGAAGAAGAACCAAUGGAGGUCUCCUCU